GAGGUCCAGCUGCAGCAGUCUGGACCUAAGGUAGUGAAUGCUGGGGCUUCCGUGAAGCUGUCCUGCAAGUCUUCUGGUUACUCAUUCAGUAGAUACAAAAUGGAAUGUGUGAAACAGAGCCAUGUAAAGAGCCUUGAGUGGAUUGAACAUAUUAAUCUUUUCAAUGGUAUUACUAACUACAAUGGAAACUUUAAAAGCAAGGCCACAUUGACUGUAGACAUAUCCUCUAGCACAGCCUAUAUGGAGCUUAGCAGAUUGACAUCUGAAGACUCAGAGGUAUAUUACUGUGCAAGA